rnacentral:rRNA from 1 species
ACCUACGGGGGGCAGCAGUAGGGAAUUUUCGUCAAUGGGCGCAAGCCUGAACGAGCAAUGCCGCGUGAACGAGGAAGGUCUUCGGAUCGUAAAGUUCUGUUGAAGGGGAAAAAGAGCAGAGAGAGGAAAUGGUCUCCGAUUGAUAUUACCCUUCGAGGAAGUCACGGCUAACUACGUGCCAGCAGCCGCGGUAAUACGUAGGUGGCGAGCGUUAUCCGGAAUGAUUGGGCGUAAAGGGUGCGUAGGCGGCCUGCUAAGUCUGGAGUGAAAAGUACCGGCUCAACCGGUACAGGCUCUGGAAACUG